rnacentral:rRNA from 1 species
GAUGAACGCUAGCUACAGGCUUAACACAUGCAAGUCGAGGGGAAACGGCAUUAAGUGCUUGCACUUUUUGGACGUCGACCGGCGCACGGGUGAGUAACGCGUAUCAAACCUUCCCAUGACUAAGGGAUAACCUGCCGAAAGGCAGACUAAUACCUUAUGGUCUUCACUGACGGCAUCAGAUGUGAAGUAAAGAUUUAUCGGUUAUGGAUGGGGAUGCGUCUGAUUAGCUUGUUGGCGGGGUAACGGCCCACCAAGGCAACGAUCAGUAGGGGUUCUGAGAGGAAGGUCCCCCACAUUGGAACUGAGACACGGUCCAAACUCCUACGGGAGGCAGCAGUGAGGAAUAUUGGUCAAUGGGCGAGAGCCUGAACCAGCCAAGUAGCGUGCAGGAUGACGGCCCUAUGGGUUGUAAACUGCUUUUGUAUGGGGAUAAAGUCAAUCACGUGUGAUUGUUUGCAGGUACCAUACGAAUAAGGACCGGCUAAUUCCGUG